rnacentral:SRP_RNA from 10 species
ACUGGGCAUGAUGCAUGUGCCUGUAGUCCUGGCUACUCAGGAGGCUGAGGUGGGAGAUUGCUGGAGCCCAGGCGUUCUGGGCUGUAGUAUGCCGUGCUAAUCCUGUGUGUACACUGAGUUCGGCAUCAAUACGGUGACCUGGGAGCUAGGGACCGCCAGGUUGCCUGCGGAAGGGUGAAGCCAUCCAACCUGGAAACAGCGCUCAGAACUCCUGAGCUGAUUAGUAGUGGGAGUGUGCCUGUAAGUAGCCACUGCCCUCCAGCUAGCAACAUAGCCAGACCUGUCUC